AAUGAACGUUGGCGGCAUGGAUUAGGCAUGCAAGUCGAGCGGGUGUAGCAAUACACCAGCGGCGUAAGGGACAGGAACACGUAGACUACCUGCCCUCGGGUCUGGGAUAGCCAACGGGAAACUGUGGGUAAUACCAGAUGACAUCUCCGGAUCAAAGGUGUGAUUCCGCCCGAGGAUGGGUCUGCGUCCUAUUAGCUAGUUGGUAAGGUAAUGGCUUACCAAGGCGAUGAUGGGUAGCAGGUGUGAGAGCACGACCUGCGUCAUUGGGACUGAGACACUGCCCAGACACCUACGGGUGGCAG
rnacentral:rRNA from 1 species